rnacentral:rRNA from 1 species
CCUACGGGAGGCAGCAGUAGGGAAUCUUCCGCAAUGGGCGCAAGCCUGACGGAGCAACGCCGCGUGAGCGAUGAAGGUCUUCGGAUCGUAAAGCUCUGUUGCCAAGGAAGAACAGCAGAUAGAGGGAAUGCUAUUUGCGUGACGGUACUUGAGAAGAAAGCCCCGGCUAACUACGUGCCAGCAGCCGCGGUAAUACGUAGGGGGCAAGCGUUGUCCGGAAUUAUUGGGCGUAAAGCGCGCGCAGGCGGUUUAGUAAGUCUGAUGUGAAAGGCAAGGGCUCAACCCUUGUUAGCAUUGGAAACUGGUAGACUUGAGUGCAGCAGAGGAAAGUGGAAUUCCACGUGUAGCGGUGAAAUGCGUAGAGAUGUGGAGGAACACCAGUGGCGAAGGCGACUUUCUGGGCUGUAACUGACGCUGAGGCGCGAAAGCGUGGGGAGCAAACAGGAUUAGAUACCCGAGUAGUC